AUGUUCACGAGCACGGCUCCACCCCACCCCAGCCAGACAAAUCCCUUCCCUCCUCCGACUCUGCUGAAUCAGGUUGGAAUUUCUCAAAAGCAAACAAACAGGCGAGCUCAGAGUUGCGGUUUUCAGAGCUCAGAUUCCUCCCGUCUGUCUGAGCCAGCAUCCAGCCCGGCCGGCCGCCCCCAGGCAGGCUGGACGGGGCCCCCAGCUGAGCCCCCCGGUCCCCGGCUGUUGGAGCGGAGUGGGGGUACCAGGCUCAGAGCUGACCCGCAGCACCGGGCCGCCCCACUUCCCUCUCGAGACCCCGCAAGCGAGGCAGGAGGCCGCGGACGGCGCCAAACACAAGGGACACCUGGCCUGGCCGGGAACCAGGAGGCCGAGAAGGGAAUCGGGGCCAGUCUGGCCCACACGUGGACAGCAGCGGUGAGCAGCAAGGCCGGUCCAAGCUGUUUCGGUAGGUGGCCUCAAAUGCUUCCACAAGAAGGUGGCACAUGGAUGGGGCUCAGCUCGCUCUGGUCAGCUGGAUCAGGGCUGAGAGCUGGGGAGUCAGCCUGCACUGGUGGGGGAAGGUGGAACUGGCCCCUUCAGCAGAGCGCCCAGAAGGUCCCCGAGGCCUCAGGUGUCGCUGCUCCCCUAAGCACCUCCGACAAGACCAAGACGACUGCUCAUCACUUUAGAGGAAAUGUUUGCGGAUUCUUCCCUACCAUCUGCUAAACCCAGCCACAGGCUGCCUUCAGGGGAGACUGCCCCUUCAGUCUGGGGAGCUGGAACGUGGAGCUACCCUAUAGAUGUCUGCAGGGCUGUCCCUGGGCGAAGGAAGCAGCCCGGGUCUAGGGGAGAAAUUUCUGGAAGGAGGUUUGUUGCUCCCAGAUGGAGAAGAGAAGUGAUGUUGUGCAGAGUGUCUGGGAGUCAAGCAAAGGAGGGGAGCAUUGGGAAGGGAGGAGGGGGCGGGGGACAUGGGGCCACUGCACUGGAUCUGAAGGGCAUUUUCCUGAUUCUAGCUUUGGGCUCCUGGCCUUCCUCCUGGGACCCUCGGCGGGAGUCUGUUCUCUGCCCGUCAGCUGCCCAGGGGCUGCCAACCUGGGGCCUGGAUGCUGAGGACCUUGGAGCCCACAUGUCCAUCGGCCCAGCGGGAGCCUGAGCCCUCCUCCCUCCCAGCCCAGGACUGGGGAAGUGAGGACUAACCAUGUUCUGGAUCAGGGCAUAAGGGCAGAGGUCUGAGGCUGGAGGACGUGUCCCAGGUCAGCCCAGGGGGGCCUCAGGGGCUAUUGUUGUGAGUAGCGGUCAUUGAUUGGUCGGUGCCCAGCAUUGUGUCAAUAAAUUGUACCUGUUAUAUACACACCUCACAAAGUGACGGUGGUCAUGGUGGAGGUGCCGAGGACGCUGCCCCAGCGCUUGGACACUGCCCUCUUGGUAUCACCUGUCACCUCCUCCAUUCUACAUGAGCUGCCUCUCUUAAUAUGGCCCCAAGUAUCCCUGGCUCUGAUCUUGAGGCUGGAUGUCUUCAAAGAAGUGCCCAGGCCCUUCCUGAGCUCCUGGCAGCACCCCGACCCCAUUCCACCCCACCAGUUGGUCUGUGGCCCGGACCUCGUCCCAGAAUAGCUCAUCGCAGCCAUACGCGACAGCCAGCAUCAAGCAUCUUGGAUUUCUGACAAAGGGACCCCCCACCUGGUGGCAGCUGACACCUGAGCCCACCCCACCCAGUGGCAAGGGGCAAGGGUGAGUGACCUGGCCGGAGACAGCUGCUGUGGGAACAGUCAGAAAAUCCCAAUGUCACUCGCCCUGGUUCU
rnacentral:lncRNA from 1 species